rnacentral:tRNA from 1 species
UCCAAUCAUUAGACCCUGACACCUAACCCCAGGGAAGAGCA